rnacentral:lncRNA from 1 species
AUGUCUGGUCACUAUGGCAGGACCUCGUGUCUUCUCUACCUGCCCACUGUUGGAUAUUCUGUGAAUUCUGUACUCAGAGGGGUUUGGCUUUGUUUCAUGGCCCAGUACAUCCCCCCACAUCACAUGCAGUCCAAGCAUUCAGGAAGUGGAGCUGCUAUUGUUCUUACAGGGGAAACUGAGGCUCAAAGAGGUUACCUGUGCCCAGAGCAGCAGACCCAGGCUUCAAAUCUUGUAACAGCAGCUGCCGAAGCCGGGGUUCCCCGGUCACUUUCUAACAGAUUGCCAGGGCUCUGGGAGUUGGAGGACUCGACCUUGGAGGAAGAGGCUUCCUGGACCCAUGCACCUGCCAUCUGUUGCCAAGACAACACAUCUGUUCCACGCCCCCUAUGACCCUGUAGUGUGGGGGCCUUCAGCACAUGGACUAGCCUGUCCUUGGCAGCCAUCAAGUGGCCCUCCUACUCAUCCCUCCAGGUUAUCUCCAGCCAUCUGCCUCAAAGAACAGAGUCUGUCAAGACCAUCCCCCAACACAGCCACAAAGAUGCACGCGGUGGAUAGGGACAUUGAGGCAGACACGGAGCUGGGGAAUGACCCUUUCCUGGACACAGUGUGUUUGCAAUAAGCUGGGAUGUUAGCCCAGGCUUCCCAGAGGAUUGAGGACACAGAGCUCAGCCAGACCUAAGGCCUGGAAAAAGGGCAGAAGCUAACAUAACCUUGCUUCCCUCAGCUGUUGUCCCUCCACUGCAGCCCUCUGUGCUCACCAGAGUCAGCCCCAAAGGGCAGAAAGCUACUAGAUGCAGGAGUCAUGUGACGUUUUGGCAUGUGAGGCAUAGAUACCGAGUUCAGGGCUUCCCACCUGUCUCACAGAGUUGAAGAGUGCACUAUUCAGGGAGCUGCUUUCUGCACUGCUGUGUGGCCCAGGAAAGUGCCUUGCCCUCUCUGGGCCCCGGUCUCCCUGCUAUUUCUGAGGGUUUGGUCUCCAGUCCCAGCCUGUGUCCUGGCCUUGAUUUCCAUGGCUUCUAACAUAAACCUGAGAAAUCUGCUCAGAUGCCUUACACCCAAAGUUUCCAGCCUAGCUGGAAAAGGGGCAAUGGGUGCUGCCUGACCUUAGCCCCAGCCAGCUGUUAUCCUGGAGUAGGGGUGAGGCUGCUGCCCAUGCCUUUCUGUCAGGUCAGGUCCCGGUGUUGAACUUGGCUUCUUCACACACCUUAUAAAGACCAGUCAGCUCCAGCCCUGGCCCUCUACUUGGUUUUAUUUAUUAUUUAUUUUAUUUAUGUAUGUUUAUUUUGGAGACAGAGUCUCAUACAGCCCAGGCUGGCCUCUGGUUCACCAAGUAGCUGAGGAUGACCUUGAACUCCUCAUCUUCCUGCUCCCACCUCCCACAUACUGAGAU